CAGUCGCCGCGGGAAUACGAAGGGUGCAAGCGUUACUCGGAAUUACUGGGCGUAAAGCGUGUGUAGGUGGUUGUUUAAGUCUGUCGUGAAAGCCCUGGGCUCAACCUGGGAAUUGCGAUGGAUACUGGGCGACUAGAGUGCGGUAGAGGAUAGUGGAAUUUCCGGUGUAGCAGUGAAAUGCGUAGAGAUCGGAAGGAACAUCAGUGGCGAAGGCGGCCAUCUGGGACAACACUGACGCUGAGGCACGAAAGCGUGGGGAGCAAACAGGAUUAGAUACCCGGGUAGUCCCUGUCUCUUAUAA
rnacentral:rRNA from 1 species